UCCCCUAGUAGGACGUCGCGACCCGUUGGGUGUCGGUCUACGGCCCGGGUGGUAAGCCUGUCUCGUGUUCGCUUCGCGGCGUUACGCGGUUCAGACCCCCGGAUGCCCGACCGGCUGCUCGGCGGUACGCGCACGGUAUCUGGCCGCAAAUAUUCGAACUGCGUCCGGCCCGUCGCAAGCGAGGCAAGUGUUUCCCGGCUGUACGGAUCUAAUGCCGUCACCGGGCCUUGCCAGCUGUUGGUUGACGGUGUCCUAGGACAGGCCAAUUCAAUUAUGAUACCGGUCGGCGACGCUACUGCUUUGGGUACUUUCAGGACCCGUCUUGAAACACGGACCAAGGAGUCUAACAUGUGCGCGAGUCAUUGGGUAUUAUUAAGCCUAAAGGCGCAAUGAAAGUGAAGGUCGGCCUCGCGCCGACCGAGGGAGGAUGGGCCGCGUCACGAUGCGGUCCCGCACUCCCGGGGCGUCUCGUUCUCAUUGCGAGAAGAGGCGCACCCAGAGCGUACACGUUGGGACCCGAAAGAUGGUGAACUAUGCCUGGUCAGGACGAAGUCAGGGGAAACCCUGAUGGAGGUCCGUAGCGAUUCUGACGUGCAAAUCGAUCGUCGGAACUGGGUAUA
rnacentral:rRNA from 1 species